GGAUGAGCCAUGUAUUGCAGUGGAGACCCAGUGGAGAUGCCGGGACCACGAGAUGGCUGCUAAUGGAAGCUUCCCACCACAAUGAGGUUUCCCAGGACUGAAACAUCACAGAAACCGAAACACCCAGCACAGAGCUAUUUCUGAGCAAGAUUCCACGAAGAGAAACUGAUUAGGACACACAAAGAUCUAUCAAAAUGCAAACUUUCAG